rnacentral:rRNA from 1 species
UACGGAGGGUGCGAGCGUUGUCCGGAAUCACUGGGCGUAAAGGGCGCGUAGGCGGCGCGGGUAGUCAUCGGUGAAAGUUCAGGGCUCAACUCUGAAUCGGCCGGUGAUACUCCCGUGCUCGAGCACUGUAGAGGCAGGUGGAAUUCCGGGUGUAGCGGUGGAAUGCGUAGAGAUCCGGAAGAACACCGGUGGCGAAGGCGGCCUGCUGGGCAGUAGCUGACGCUGAGGAGCGAAAGCGUGGGGAGCGAACAGG